AGAGAGAGAGAGAGAGAGAGUAAACUGAACAGUUUAAAGCCAGAAACCACACUAGAAAUUAAGAACAGAAAUUUGCAUUUUAGAUUUUGGUAGAGUAAUACAACCAGGAAACCCAUCAUUUAAUUUUGCAUCGGCAGAAAGCCAUGUUAAAAUCCAAGAGGACUAAUAGAAAUACUGAAAGAGAAAACUUCAAAAACUUGAUUUUAAUGUGAUUAUCAUUGUAGUUUGCUGUGACCCUCGUCCAUUAUACAGUUUCCUUCAAUUACUAAACUUUCAAUCAGGCAUAAAAUAUACUUAAUGCAUUAACCAGUGUUCCAUAACACACACAAAAUUUUGUCUCACAGCUCAGUACACAAUAUUUAACAGGGAAAAACAACAAAUUCAGCAAGAUCUUCAUCUUACCAAGUGAAUCUUAUGUAAUGCACACCACACAACACAGUUCCACGAAUAGUCGAUUUUACACUUAAAAUUAUGGGGCAAAAAAGUCACCACCCAAAGAAAGAGAAAAGUUAAGGUCUCACAAAUUUCUAUAUAUUUUACGCCCUUAAAAUGGCAUGCUUCUUUAGACAAUGCAAACCUGUCAAGGAAAUUUUAAUGCAUGGUGAACAAUUCAUGGUGGCAAGGCAAGUAUGAAACCAAAUAAAUGCUUUUAAUUUAUCCAUCAAACGUGAGAACAUGAAAAGUCAAAAUUGUGUUAAUUUUUUUCAUCUCCAACUACUCACCUAGCAACUAGCAUGCUUGGCUAGGAUCCCCUUAAAUAUCUUAAAAAAAUGUUUACAUAUAUAACAAUUACAAAAUGGAACAAGAACUAUGAAGCAUCAGUAAUAAUUCAAGCACACAAACAUAUGCACCAACCCCACUAAAUUAAUUUUAAAUAUAUAUAUAUUAAAACAGCAAUUUACAAGAAGAAAAGCCUACAUCAGCCAUGCGUCAGACAAUAAUUUUAAGAGAACCAUCAAUAAUACCUAAAACACAAAAUAUGUCAAAAAAAAAUCAGAACAUCUAAUUUCAUAAAGUUAAAUAAACAAAUUCAAUUACUGUUUGAAAAUGGAAACAAAACAAGGGCAUUGACCUGAAUUCUGAACCCAACUAGGA
rnacentral:misc_RNA from 1 species